CCGAGCUUGGCGAAGAAAGCGCAAUGGCAUCCAGUACUGAUUAUAAUCCAUGAUCUGUUACACAUAUGCCGGUGUGCGUGACCGCGUGUGUGAAGCUCGAAAAAACGGGAUCUUCCUGACCCAGGGGUUGAACCUGCAUCUCCAGCAUUGGCAGGUGGAUGCUUUACCACUGAGCCAUCUGGGAAACCCAGCCUGCCUUUGAGUCUCUGCCGAAAUGUCAUGAUGCUGUUCUUUGCGUCUAUCUGGGACCCAAAUGCUUCUGAACAGCCACUUUCUUGUCAGGUGAUCAACAUGAUGAUACAACAGGAAGACAGCAUAAAGCAUCAGAACCUUGCGGUACUGCCUGGCUUACUGCAGCAGGAAGCUUCUAUAAAAAGUGCUCUAACGUAAAGGAGCCUACUUGUCUUCCAUCCCAGCCUACUACAGAGGAGAGGAUCUUCCAAAUCAAGGGUGCACGCAGCCCAGUCCCACAGCGUCGACGGGACAAAUGGCAAGGAACACUAGCCAGCAAGGAAUCAGUGACCCAGGAGGCAUGCAAAAGGAACAACCUCGGCUGAAAAAAGCUUGAGACUCCAAGAUUUCAAAACACUCCAUGAUGAAGUUAGGAAACAGGAAAAAAAUUUCAAGUAUUGAAGACAGAAGAAGGAGUUUUGGCAAGAACCGUAUUUACUGUCCAUUGCAAGACCACAGCACCACAGACUACGUUCUUUCAAAAAGCAUUUUGCUCCAGCUUUUAGCACUGACUUCAUAAGUGACAACUGUCAUGACAGUGUGUGAUACAAAGGAUGUGAAAACAGUAGUCUGUGUGUGUCCCUUCCCCCCCUCCCCCCCCCCGCCAAUGGUGGUCCCCAGCACCGGGUGGCCUCCAAGCCCCCCACCCCCACUCACCCAGACAAAGCCUGGGGGGAUGCUGGCUGUGUUCUCAGUGCAGGCAGGGUAGUGCUGGUUCCGCCUUUCUAGAUUAAAUGCUUCCCCAGGUCAGGAACAUGUACCCCAGUAGUUAAAUUAGAAGUACCAUGACUAAAUCCCCACCCCGGAAAUGACUGAGUCAUCAUUUCUCAAUAGCCCCUGAGAGUUUUGCCCCACCCUCUCCUCUAUCAUCUUAAGCUGCUGGGCAAUGUGGUCAUCACACAUAUUUUCACAUCCUUUAAAAAAAACAUAGUUGUUAAAAAAAAAAAAUGCCUGAAUGUCAACGGAUGCAAAGUCAGACAUUUACAAACAAAAAGGUUCAGAGCAGACUUUGGUUUCAUUCAAACCAGAAAUACUCUUAAAAAGCAUUACAGAGAGUAAGGACAGUGCAGAGAGCAGGAACAACGUGGCUAGAAUCUAGUAAAUGCAUGUGAAAUUCUA